AUGAACGCUGGCGGCGUGCCUAAUACAUGCAAGUCGAGCGAACAGACGAGGAGCUUGCUCCUCUGACGUUAGCGGCGGACGGGUGAGUAACACGUGGAUAACCUACCUAUAAGACUGGGAUAACUUCGGGAAACCGGAGCUAAUACCGGAUAAUAUAUUGAACCGCAUGGUUCAAUAGUGAAAGACGGUUUUGCUGUCACUUAUAGAUGGAUCCGCGCCGCAUUAGCUAGUUGGUAAGGUAACGGCUUACCAAGGCAACGAUGCGUAGCCGACCUGAGAGGGUGCUCGGCCACACUGGAACUGAGACACGGUCCAGACUCCUACGAGAGGCAGCAGUAGGGAAUCUUCCGCAAUGGGCGAAAGCCUGACGGAGCAACGCCGCGUGAGUGAUGAAGGUCUUCGGAUCGUAAAACUCUGUUAUUAGGGAAGAACAAAUGUGUAAGUAACUAUGCACGUCUUGACGGUACCUAAUCAGAAAGCCACGGCUAACUACGUG
rnacentral:rRNA from 1 species